UACGUAGGGACCAAGCGUUGUUCGGAUUUACUGGGCGUAAAGAGCUCGUAGGCGGUUUGUCGCGUCUGCCGUGAAAGUCCGGGGCUCAACUCCGGAUCUGUGGUGGGUACGGGCAGACUAGAGUGAUGUAGGGGAGACUGGAAUUCCUGGUGUAGCGGUGAAAUGCGCAGAUAUCAGGAGGAACACCGAUGGCGAAGGCAGGUCUCUGGGCAUUAACUGACGCUGAGGAGCGAAAGCAUGGGGAGCGAACAGG
rnacentral:rRNA from 1 species